GGCAACUGGGUAGAAGAGCAGACAAAGUCAGUGUGCCCUCAAGGAGGAACGCACAAGGCCAGGGAUAAGUUGAACAGAAGAGAGAUAGACAACACAAAGACCACUAAUGUCCCUCUGCUUCGGGUAAACAGAUGGGCUGGAAAACCCUGGAGAAGGAGCAGCCUGGGCAGGUGAAAACCUUGCUCUGCACCAGGGUCACUCGGCAGCAAAGUAUGUUCCAGGAUACCUGGCUGCCAAGCUGCGUGGUCUGCAAUUCCCCUGGUUUUGUCUCCCAUCUCGCUGUGGGAGUGCUGGGGGUACAGAUGUAUAUUACAAUAUCCAGCUUUCUGUCUGUUCCAGAGAUGGAGGUCCAGUCACCUGGCUUUCAUGAUGCUGUGUCAAGAAAAACAAACACAUGCAGCAAAUUGGCAACAACAACAACUCCAUCCUCAGUGGUGCGGACUGACUGCUGGAUGUGGGUCCCUCUUGAUUGACUAGAGGUGCUUUGCUAUUCUCACUCCUUCUUGUUAGUCCCUUAUAAAGAAAGUCUGUAAAGUCCUC